rnacentral:rRNA from 1 species
AUUAGAUGGCGACCGGCGCACGGGUGCUGAACACGUAUGCAACCUACCCUUUACAGGGGAUGAUAACCUUUCGACAAGGAAGAACUCAAUAUCCCAUGGGUUCCAUGAAAUUGCAUAAUUAUAUGGAUAAAGGAGCAAUCCGGUAAACGGAUGGGCAUGCGUCCCAUUAGAUAGUUGGCGAGGUAACGGCUCACCAAGUCGACAGAUGGGUAGGGGUUCUGAGAGGAUUAUCCCCCACACUGGUACUGAGACACGGACCAGACUCCUACGGGAGGCAGCAGUGAGGAACUAUUGGGCAAUGGACGGAAGUCUGACCCAGCCAUGCCGCGUGCAGGAAUGACGGCCCUAUGGGUUGUAAACUGCUUUUCUAUUAGAAGAACACCAUUACGUGAUAAUGGACUGACGGUAUAAUCAGGAAUAAGCAUCGGCAUAACUCCGUGCCAGCAAGACCG